UUUGAUGUUUAGAUGCCUUAGGAGGAA
rnacentral:piRNA from 1 species